rnacentral:rRNA from 1 species
AUAAACUAGGAUUAGAUACCCUAUUAUAAGGAGCGAAAAAGAGGAGAAGCACUAAAACCAACAGGUUAAAACUUAAAGAGCAUGGCGGCGAGCCUAAUUUCUCAGGGGAAUUUACCAGGUAAUUGACAACCCACAAGAAGCCCCUCUCAGCCUUAUAGUUUGUAUGCCGCCGUCUUCAGGUAACACCUAAGGUCUUACCGGCCAUCCCUCAGAGAGAAGACAGGUCAUGGUGCAGCUAAUGGUUGUGUGCAAGGUGAGUUACAAUAAGAUACUGUUUUCUGCCAUAAACUUUAAAGCGUUUGUUAAGGAUGGACUUGAAAGUAAGAAAUAGGAAAGUAUUCUUUGAAUUGCUUUUAGGCCCGUGCACACAUCGCCCG